AAUCAACGCUGGCGGCGUGCCUCAGACAUGCAAGUCGAACGCGAAAGUUCCCUUCGGGGGAUGAGUAGAGUGGCGCACGGGUGAGUAACACGUAGGUAAUCUACCUUCGGACGGGGAAUAACAACCGGAAACGGUUGCUAAUACCGCAUAAUGCAGCGGCACCUAAUGGUGACAGUUGUUAAAGCGGGGGAUCGAAAGACCUCGCGUCUGAAGAGGAGCCUGCGGCGGAUUAGCUAGNGGUAGGGUAGCGGCCUACCAAGGCUACGAUCCGUAGCCGGCCUGAGAGGGCGGUCGGCCACACUGACACUGACAUACGGGUCAGACUCCUACGGGAGGCAGCAGUCGGGAAUUUUGGGCAAUGGGCGAAAGCCUGACCCAGCAACGCCGCGUGAAGGAUGAAAUCCCUCGGGAUGUAAACUUCGCAAGAACGGGAAGAA
rnacentral:rRNA from 1 species